GUAAAUAUUUAUUUAUUACCUAAAUUAUAAUUAUCAUUCUUUUUCCCAUAUUUUCCAACUCAUUAUCAAAUGCCUUUUUUUUCAAGACUAGAACUUGAGCUAUGAAGUGGAUUUUUUGCCAAGUCCACUUGAAUAAUCAACAUUUCGUCAAUUUAGCAAGUUUACUUUAAUAUAUAUUGUUAUGUUACUUCGCAUGAAAUGCUUAAUUUCCUUCGAACUUAUUGCUGUUAUUAUAUUAAUCUAGAUAUGCAAUAAUUUCAAAUGGUGAAAUCUAAAGGACUCGCUACUAAAGCUAAUUAAAGGCAUGUUUCGAACAACUUUUUGGCUGUUUUUUUUUUAAGACAGCGGCCACAAUUUCAUUUAGAUGGUUUCUUGCUAUUUUCUAUUAUUUUUAAGAAGUUUCUAUGGUGAAAAAUAACUUUCUGCAACCUUAGUGACGUAGUUGUUUCUACACAGCAAUUUACGCUGAAUCCUACCAUUUUGAUGCCGAAUCAUCCCAUCAUGUUGAAUCCUGUCGUCCCGAUGCCUAAUCCAACCUGAAACCUACAAGGAAAAAAAUGCAUGGGAAGAGAAGAUGAGCAUAUCAAAGUAGCGAAGCUGGGGUACAAAGAGGCGGUUCGGGAUGGGAACCAUGAGGAAGAAGUGCGGUGGGCGAACAUGAUCGGCGACCUCCUCAAGAGGAGGAGGGAGUACAUUGAGGGUCUGAGCUUUCACCAAAUCCUCAUAAAAGGUGAACUUUAGAAGUGUUGAUGAAGCUAUAGUUAUUGCCUUAUUGGAGCUACUCUUUCUUUGUCAUCAUCCGCAUUUGUUCUAUAGGCAUGCAUUCUUAUCUACUCAAGUUUUACAAGCUGGUUAAUAGUUAUGAUUGUGCUUCUUUUGCUGCAUGUCUUCCGAGAGAUAUCAGAUUGGGGCAAUUUUUAAUUUACAAGUAUCUUAGUGCUGCGAGCUUGCUAUUUCAUCAGCUAGAGGAAGAGUUGCGAUGUUUUGGUAGCGAGACACCUCUAAUAUUUCAAGGGGAAUAGAAUUUGAAAUGCUACAAAAAUUCCAAGUCUUCCACCUCAUAAUUAUCUUCAAGCUCUUGAGCUUAGGAGGCUAAUGGGGCAACUCUUUCAACUUCGGGUAGUUAAUUAGAUCCAGUUCAAUUAUAAGGAAACAAACAUCAUCUUCAUCAGUUACUCCUCCCUCGAACUAAUCCUCUAAUGCAACAUGUGGUCUUCUAAUAAUUUGUUGUGAAUCUCUAUGAUUUAAGUGGAGUUUUUGUUUCAUCUACAUCUCUUAUUUAUGUGAGGCUUUUGUUUCUGUGUAGUGAAUGUCUUAGAUUUUUUUGUGGCACAGGUCGACUGUUUUUGUUUGAAAGUACUUAUUUAUUAGAUGCAAAAAUUGUUAAAUUGUUGGGUUAUGUCAGUGUUAUGAAGAUGCUUUUGAAUGGCCUCAACUAUUUUUUUGAAUUAUAAUCUUGUAUUGUUUGAAAACCUUUGUACAAACCAUUUUUCUUGAGUGAUAAUCAGAAUUUGUCCUUUUGGUUGAAUGA